rnacentral:rRNA from 1 species
GACGAACGCUGGCGGCGUGCUUAACACAUGCAAGUCGAACGGAAAGGCCCUGCUUUUGUGGGGUGCUCGAGUGGCGAACGGGUGAGUAACACGUGAGUAACCUGCCCUUGACUUUGGGAUAACUUCAGGAAACUGGGGCUAAUACCGGAUAGGAGCUCCUGCUGCAUGGUGGGGGUUGGAAAUUUUCGGCGGUUGGGGCUGGACUCGCGGCUUAUCAGCUUGUUGGUGGGGUAGUGGCUUACCAAGGCUUUGACGGGUAGCCGGCCUGAGAGGGUGACCGGGCACAUUGGGACUGAGAUACGGACCAGACUGCUACGGGAGGCAGCAGGGGGGAGUAUUGCACAAUGGGCGGAAGCCUGAUGCAGCAACGCCGCGUGCGGGAUGACGGCCUUCGGGUUGUAAACCGCUUUCGCCUGUGACGAAGCGUGAGUGACGGUAAUGGGUAAAGAAGCACCGGCUAACUACGUG